GAUGAACGCUGGCGGCGUGCCUAAUACAUGCAAGUCGAGCGAACAGACGAGGAGCUUGCUCCUCUGACGUUAGCGGCGGACGGGUGAGUAACACGUGGAUAACCUACCUAUAAGACUGGGAUAACUUCGGGAAACCGGAGCUAAUACCGGAUAAUAUAUUGAACCGCAUGGUUCAAUAGUGAAAGACGGUUUUGCUUUCACUUAUAGAUGGAUCCGCGCCGCAUUAGCUAGUUGGUAAGGUAACGGCUUACCAAGGCAACGAUGCGUAGCCGACCUGAGAGGGUGACCGGCCACACUGGAACUGAGACACGGUCCAGACUCCUACGGGAGGCAGCAGUAGGGAAUCUUCCGCAAUGGGCGAAAGCCUGACGGAGCAACGCCGCGUGAGUGAUGAAGGUCUUCGGAUCGUAAAACUCUGUUAUUAGGGAAGAACAAAUGUGUAAGUAACUAUGCACGUAUUGACGGUACCUAAUCAGAAAGCCACGGCUAACUACGUG
rnacentral:rRNA from 1 species